UAAGGAAGUUCCGCUAACGUGAAACGUCAUCUAUGGGAAAACCGACAGUACCGUCCCGUAGCCCCUCGACACGGUACAAAUUUAGUCGGACAUUUUGUUUUUUUCGUAGGAAGCAAUUUCUCCAGAUAUUCCGCAUAUUGAUUAAAGUGGGGGGGACCCUGUAAACGGAGUAAUUGGAAUGCCAAAAAUAUACACCAUAAAUUAAGAAAAUUAAUAAUAGGUUUAAAAAUGAAAACAAUUUUCUUUAAUGAAUUUAAUAUUUUUAGAAUGUAAAUGGAGAAAACAAUUGCCACAUUUUAUGGAACUCGCAAAACGUAAACUAGUAAAUAUCUGAUUGGAACAUUCCUUUUAUCCGUAUCAAUUAACCCACAACAGUUGUCACGAUAACAACGAUGCAGCAAAAGCUGGUGUUGGGAUUUAAGAACGUCGGAGGCAUUUAUUAUGCCGAACAGUCCGAAACAUAUUUUAUGAACGUUGGAGAAACCAAACAGUUAUCUCUCGGUACCGAGGUGAGCUCUCGACGAUCUGUGUGGCCAAGACAAACACAAAAAAGUAAGGAGUUUUAAAGCUUAAUUCAGAAAAUAUAGUGUGGAACAAGAAAAAAUAUAUUACAGAUACAGUUUUUUUCUUUCGACCUAUCUUCUUUCAAUUGAAACCGAUAUUUCCUAGAUCAUAAAACUCAGUAAGUUCAAAGUCUUCGGUGAGUACAAUUGAUUUCAAGUUACGGUACGUGUAAAUUUUAACUCUGGAAAUCUAAAUUAUAGAGCGUGCGUAUUUGUUCCUUUAGAUGUGCAUAAGUUUUCACCUAAUCAAUACCAAUGAAUGUGUUCAAACGAUGAGAAACACGAGGUUUUAUAAAUGCACUUUGUAACAAGGGAGUUGGAAAAGAAAUCCAAGAUUGAAAAG